rnacentral:rRNA from 1 species
GCGUUAAUCGGAAUUACUGGGCGUAAAGCGUGCGCAGGCGGUUCCGCAAGUCAGAUGUGAAAUCCCCGGGCUCAACCUGGGAACUGCAUUUGAAACUACGGGGCUAGAGUGUGUCAGAGGGGGGUGGAAUUCCACGUGUAGCAGUGAAAUGCGUAGAGAUGUGGAGGAACACCAAUGGCGAAGGCAGCCCCCUGGGAUGACACUGACGCUCAUGCACGAAAGCGUG